rnacentral:lncRNA from 1 species
AUGGUUGGGAAUCUGGUUGCUGGUAAACGCAUAGCACAAGCUGCAGGAAGGGAUCUGGGGCAAACUGAAGAGAACGACUUAGUGAGGAAGCACCAGUUCUUGGCAGAGAUUUUGCAGUGGCGAGCCCAGGCAACUCCUGACCAUGUACUCUUCAUGCUGUUAAAUGCCAAGGGAACUACUGUGUGCACAGCCAGCUGCCUUCAGCUUCAUAAGCGAGCAGAGAGGAUGGCAUCAGUACUUGGUGACAAGGGACAUCUAAAUUCAGGGGACAAUGUGGUAUUGCUCUACCCACCUGGUGAGUGUUGGAUUAAUAAACUGAACUCUGUGCUAUGUUAUUAGAUGGCAUACAAGGAGAGAAUAGGAACUCAAGAGUCACCAUCUGCUACCACAGAGGUCUGGUACUUCCCAGCACCAAGUACUCCAUGCAUACAAGCUAAGAUGUGAAUCAGGAUGCGUCCCCUGAAUUGUGUGGUAUACCUCUGCAGAAACUUUCAUUAUCAGUGCCUAGCACAUAAAAGAUACUCAGGCCAGACAUGCUAGCACAUUCCUGUAAUAUUAGUCCUUGGGAAAUAAGACAGGAGAAAUUAGGCAUUAGAGAGCCCAGCAAGGGUCAUAUAACAAGCCUUUAAAACAUAGAAAAGCCGGGCUUGGUGGCGCAAGCCUUUAGUCCCAGCAC